GUUAAAUUGUCAUGCAUUUCAGUUAUGCAUAAAUCAUGCAUUUCAUUAGGUUAGUUUUGCCACUGUCAAGACAGUUUACAUAAUUUUAAGUAAUGUACACAGCAACUUAAAACUUUGAAAAGGAUUGCGGUCUGUGAGAUAAAAAAUUAGCUCAUGAUUUACUUAACUUAAUCAGUCCACUGUUGUAUUGUAACUGUUACUCCUGGUCAAAAACUUCCAUAAUUUUAUAGUUUAUAUGUGGGAUCACUUAUUUACAACUAAGUGUAAUGGUGAAAAACAUGAAUAUUUAUCAAUGCAUAAAAUUUAGUAUUGCAUAAAAACUAGUGCCUGUAACUGAUCCCAGAAUACUUUAAAUAUACUUCAUAAAUUGUGUGUAUGUCUACUUUUUGUCCUUCUGGAGCUUGACAUCUGUGGUCAUAAUGAACUGCCCUUGUGUAGAAAAUGUUUUAAACAUUGUUACUUUUUCCCUUUUGUGUUUUAAGUGGAAAUAAUAAUACCAUAUGCAACAGCAAGAGGGUGAUUAAAUCAUGGCAGAAUGUUAAUUUUAAGGUAAUCUAAUUGAUUUUUCAGACCAAAGUGCAAGUGGAUACACUCCUCCAGAACUUGUUGCAGAGAAACCCAUCCAGGAAGGCAUAGGAUCUGCAGAAAAAGAUGGAUGUCCACAAAAUCAAGUUUUUUACGUUUCGUAUUACCAUAUUACAAUCAUUAUAUGUUCCGUACCUACCGUAUGUGGACGAGUCGCAAAUCCAUUGCAAAGAAGAGAACCUGCUGGGUGAAGGUGCCUUUGGAAGAGUGUAUAGAGGCUACUUUCAGGGCACCCCUGCUGCAAUAAAGAAGAUUCUGUAUGGCACUGCAGGACUUCCUAUACCAAGAUAUCCAGCAUGAGAUUCUGGUCUCACUCCGACUGAGCCAUCCCAAUAUUGUUCGACUCAUGGCUGCAGCCCACACUGACAACGCCUUCUUGCUGGCCAAUGAGUAUAUACAUGGCACAACCCUGGAGGAUGCACUACACAAUGACAGUUCUUGUUAAGGUUAAAAAAAAAAUCAUAUUUUUCAUGUAACGUUUGUGAAAAAUUGUCUUAAUAUUUAAUGUGAAUAACGAAAUGUGAUGUGAUUGGUUAGCUAUCCCAGUGCGUUGUGAUUAGCGAACAGCUUAGAUCAGGGCUGUCCAAACUCGGUCCUGGAGGGCCGGUGUCCUGCAGAGUUUAGCUCCAACCCUAAUUAAACACACCUGAACCAGCUAAUCAAGCUCUUACUAGGCAUAGAAACUUCCAGUCAGGUGUUUUGAGGCAAGUUGGAGCUAAACUGCAGAGACACCGGCCCUCCAGGACCGAGUUUGGACAGCCCUGGCUUAGAUGGUGUUUCAGUACAGCCCCCAUGCCAAAGCAGCAAGUUCCGUCUGCUCCGGCUUAGUUAAAGCAGCACUAUAACUUUUUCUGUGUUCAAAAUUUGCAAAAUGUAUAUAAUGAGCGAGUACAUCAUGAAUUCAUCUUUUUGUCUUAUUCCGAAUCACU
rnacentral:lncRNA from 1 species